GUGUCAGCAGCCGCGGUAAUACGGGGGUGGCGAGCGUUACUCGGAUUCAUUGGGUGUAAAGGGCAGGUAGGCGGCUAUGUAAGUUGGAGGUGAAAUCCUUUGGCUCAACCAAAGAACUGCCUUCAAAACUACAUGGCUUGAGGCUAAAAGAGGAGAGCGGAAUUCCCGGUGUAAGGGUGAAAUCUGUAGAUAUCGGGAGGAACACCAGUGGCGAAGGCGGCUCUCUGGUUUAGCCCUGACGCUGAGCUGCGAAAGCUAGGGGAGUAAACAGGAUUAGAUACCCUGGUAAUCCUAGCCGUAAACGAUGAGCACUAGGUGUUGGUUCGAAAGAGUCAGCGCCGUAAGAUAACUCGUUAAGUGCUCCACCUGGGGACUACGACCGCAAGGUUAAAACUCAAAUGAAUUGACGGGG
rnacentral:rRNA from 1 species